AAAGAGCAUCUGUUCCCUCCAUUCUCCCAGCUCUAUCGGCUGCCAACCUAGGGCCAUCGCCUGCCUCCAUCACCCCUCCGCCCGCCUGCCCGCCCGCCUACCCACCCAAUCCCAAACGGGUGCUGGAUCAGGUGCCGAAUCUGGCUGCCUCCUCGGGUAUACCCGUCACUGUGCAUUGCUGUGUGUCUGCCACCGCUGCCUGGCACUCAUGGGGCCGUGUGUAUGUGUGUGUGUGUGUGCGCAUGUACAUGUACGCAUAAACGCGUGCUGUAUGUGAGCCUCCUGGGCAUGGGUGGGGGUUGGCACUGCGGUUGCCAAUCUAGUGUCCAACCAGAAGGACAGGGGGAUGGAGUGGAAGGAGGGGAGAGGGUUGAGGCCUGGGAGGGCAGAAGAGGGUGCAUGAGUUGCUUCAUGCUGCCUGCUUACACGCAUUGGCACUGCAGCUGCCACCCUUGUGCCCGCGGAGAUGGGAGGAAGCGAAUGGGGAGGGGGACAGCCGCAGGAGUCCUGGUGGUCUGAGAGGGAGACUCGGUACCUGGGAGCCAUUGGCAUCACACCCGUCAGGCUGGUGCCCCGAGCUGGGGCAGUGGGAACAGGGGCCCCAGGAGGCAGAGAGGAGGGGCAGAGAUGUGUUAAUGAUGUUUCUGUCUCUCUGGAGCUCAGCUCUGAGAAACAGUUGGACUAUGAGGUACUUAGCCUUCUUCUAGUCUGGGAAAGUGAAGUGGUGGAAAGAGUAGCCAGGGAAGUGCCAAGAAAGUGUCUAAGAGCAGGAGAAGGGAUCGUGCCACUGCUUCCUGGGGGAGCUCCUCAGGGCUGGCCUUUGUGAAAAGCACGGGGAUGUGGGCGUGAAGCAAUGGGUGCUGGCACUGCCCAUGGAGCCUGGCAGAGGCUCUGGCAUUGUGUGGAAUGGAGGAGGGUAGAAGUGCCUCUUGCCAAUCUGGUUGAGAAGAUUGCUGUGUGCCAGGAAUGAGAAGGGAGGUGAGAUGGUGUGUGUGUGUGUGUGUGUGUGUGUGUGUGUGUGUGUGUGUGUGUGAGAGAGAGAGAGAGAGAGAGAGAGAGAGAGAGAGAGAGAGAGUUGUUUGGGAGAACAGACUUGUUUUCUGCCAGGACCUCCUUCCUGUUCCCUCUUAGGCAUGGGGAGCGGAGCGACAGACGGAGAGAGGCUUGAGGACACAAAGGAGGAAGCGUGCCAUUGCCAAGACCCCAAGGAAGAAGGACAGAGAGCGCUGGCAGUCCUGUCUGGCCCCCAGCCAGUUUCCUGCUGAAGAUGGCCAAAUCCUCUUGCCUGGUCUGUGUAUGUCACCGUGCGAGCAUGGUGGGAGCAGGGGGGUGGCUUGCUUGCUGAGCUGGGAUCUAGAAUGGGAAGGGCACCUUUCUGUGGAUC
rnacentral:lncRNA from 1 species